UACGAAGGUGGCAAGCGUUGUUCGGAUUUACUGGGCGUACAGGGAGCGUAGGCGGUUCGGUAAGCCCUCUGUGAAAUCUCCAGGCUUAACCCUGGAACAGUCGGAGGGGACUGCUGGGCUAGAGGACGGGAGAGGAGCGCGGAAUUCCCGGUCGUAGGCGGUGAAAUGCGUAGAGAUCCGGGAGGAACACCCAGCCGGCGAAGGCGGCAUCCUGGACUGGUCCUGACACUCAGGAGC
rnacentral:rRNA from 1 species